GCCCUCAUAGCUCAAUCGGUAGAGUUUCCGGCUCUUAACCGGAAGGUUGUGGGUUCGAUCCCCACUGGGGGCG